rnacentral:misc_RNA from 1 species
UCUCUACUUGCGUAGGCAGUUCCCAUAGAGUCCCCACCUUUACGUGCUGGCAACUAUGUGUAAGGGUUGCGCUCGUUGCAGGACUUAACCUAACACCUCACGGCACGAGCUGACGACAACCAUGCAGCACCUCGCAAGACGCCCGUAGGCUAUACAGUUUCCUGUAUAUUCGUCUUACGUUCAAGCCCGGGUAAGGUUCCUCGCGUAUCAUCGAAUUAAACCACAUGCUCCUCCGCUUGUGCGGGCCCCCGUCAAUUCCUUUGAGUUUCAACCUUGCGAUCGUACUCCCCAGGUGGAUCACUUAUCGCUUUCGCUUAGCCACUGAGUAUUACUACCCAACAACGAGUGAUCAUCGUUUACAGCGUGGACUAC